CCGUUUCUCAUUCUAGCAUCAAAGAUGUUAUUUUGUUGGCUGAAAUUAGUAUAUUUUUGGCAUAUGAUGCAGAACUCAACAAAAUUUGAUUAUGUAGAAGUCCCAUAACAAAUUUUCUGACAUAUUUGUUGAUAUAGGUGGCAAGAUAUACAGAUCCCCGGGAUGCAUGUUCUGCCAUUGCUGGAGAAUCGUAUAAGAAAUGGUUGGAACAUGAAACCCGAACAGAUGAUAUUACAAUCAUCAUUGUCCAGAUCAAAGGUUUUUCUAAUGUAUGAAUUUUACUAAAUCUUACUCUACCUGCACAUUUUGCUAGCCUGUCCAGUCUGAAUUUCCUGCUUUCAGCGUGUGCUCAAUUCAUGUUCUGGUUGUGUACACUAUGCUGGGGUUGCACAAGUUUUCUACCCCCUCUUCAUGCUCCUGCUCUAUUUUCCUUUGCCCAUGCCCCUUGUGUAAAGGAAAAAAAUAGCUGCACUUUCCAUUGACUGGCUUGUUUACCUAAUUUAUAAUGUAAUUACCAUAGUUAGAUGGCGAUGGAUCAAAUGGGACCAAUAUUAGGGCAACAAGGUCCAGAAGAGAAACUUCUGAAAUAUCCAUUACAAGUGUUUCAGAGUUAUACCGUUCAGUAAGAAGCGGCUUCUCGGUCCUGCAGCCUUGUCAGCAUGUCGUUUCAACAAAUCGAAGCCUAGGUAUCAUUGUUCCAUCUCUGGAACGUGCAAGGUCAUUGGAAUGUGAUGAAAUUCAUGACCUUGAGGAAGCAGCCUAACACUUCCUUGUCUUUUUUCUUUAGAGGAUGUGGGCAAGUCGUGCAGUCUCCAAGCGACAGCUUCUCUGUUAAUUUGCUCUAUAUACAGGAUAUAAUUGGUCACUAAUCUCCAGGCAACAGCUUCUUUGCUAGUACUGAUAAAAAUCAUUUAAACCAUUUGUAACCAACCCUGCUAGAUUCCUUCUGGAGAACAAAAUGCUCUCCCUCC